UAUCCAAAGCAUAAACCUUUGAAAAUACAAAAAAACAGAGCUCACAAGAACAAACAAAAAACAGAGGAAGCAAAAUCCACCUCUUAUUUCCUCUCCAAUUCUCCUUCUUCUAUCUUCCUCCUCCUCCACUCUCCACUUCUUCAAUGGCUUCCUCCGCCAUAUCCCUCCUCUCCCCCCACAAAGCCUCCACCGCCACCCACCUUUUCCUGCGCACCCCCAAAUCCCCUAACAUGCGCUCACCUUCUUCCUACAGGCCCAUGUCCGUCAAAGCCCGCACAGUCCCUGCCCUCACUCAAGACGACCUCAAGAAGCUAGCCGCCGACAAGGCCGUUGAGUACGUCAAAUCCGGUAUGGUCCUUGGCCUCGGAACUGGCUCCACUGCCGCCUUCGUGGUCUCCAAGCUCGGGGAGCUUCUCAAAUCCGGCGAAUUGAAGGACAUCGUCGGAGUCCCGACUUCCAAGCGCACGGAGGACCAAGCUCGCCAGUUGGGUAUUCCCCUUUCGGUGCUCGACGACCACCCGAAGAUCGAUUUGGCGAUCGAUGGCGCCGAUGAGGUCGACCCAAAUCUUGAUUUGGUCAAAGGGCGCGGCGGAGCUUUGCUGAGGGAGAAGAUGGUGGAGGCGGCGUCGGAGAAGUUUGUGGUGGUGGCGGAUGAGACGAAGCUAGUGACUGGGCUCGGCGGAAGCGGGCUGGCAAUGCCCGUGGAGGUGGUGCAGUUCUGCUGGAAGUACAACUUGGUGAGGCUUCAGGAGCUGUUUAAGGAAGAAGGGGUGGAGGCGAAAUUGAGGAUCGACGGCGACGGGAAGCCGUAUGUGACUGAUAACUUCAAUUACAUUGUGGAUUUGUACUUCCAGACUCCGAUUAAAGACGGGCCGGCGGCAGGGAAGGAGAUUUUGAAAUUCGAAGGAGUUGUGGAACAUGGGUUGUUCUUAGACAUGGCGACGGCGGUGAUCAUUGCGGGUACGGAUGGAGUGGAUGUGAAGACCAAGUGAUUGGCUUUUUUCGGGUUCUCCGGUGGUGUCCUGUUUCUGUAUAAUUUUAGGAGAGUAUACUGAGAACUGCCUCCAUCAACUGUAACCCAAGCUUUUCUUGAGGCUUUCGAGGGUCAAGUGAUUCCCGCGUUUCAGUUUGUCUUCCAGAAUAGUUAUGGAGUAAAACGCUCGAUGGUACACCUGUACUCAAUGCUUGGAUUACUACGUGUUACCAGUUAACUUGAAGCCUAAAUCAUACAGAACCUGCGAUAUGAUUUCGGUUGCAACCUGAGUGGCGUAUUUAUAACUUGAUCAUGUUUUUGGUUGUCUUCCUUUUAUGUUGAUGGCGUCUUCCUUUUAUGUUGAUGGCGUCUUCCUUUUAUGUUGAUGGCAUCUGUUCUUCAAAUUGUAUGGUGAUGGCAGGUUGAUCAACGUGUAAAAGCUUUUCGAUUGUUUUGGAAGUGUUCUAAUGAAAUUUUUUAUUCGUGUA